AACAAAGAGUCCUCUUCUUGUGCAAAUUUGCAGUCAUAUUUCCCUACUGCAUACUUUGUGGUUUUCUCUUAACUUCUUUCCAUUUUGACAUGGUGGGGGAAGCAGGUGCAAUUCAAGCUGUCAGGUUUGAAAUACACAGAGAGGAAAUAGCUGUCUUGUCCCUAUCUGACACCACAGUGCACAUGUAUGUGUGUGCAGACCUCAGGCUUUAAGCUUAUCUUGGAGCUAACGAAUGGAAACACCCUCUGCAAAGAGGCCUUUCAUUUUAGCUUUUAUCUAAUUUUCUGUGUAAAUGUAGCCUACGGGUAUGUAUUGCUGUGUUUAUCAUAUAAAGUCUCCUCCCAUAUUUCUCUCAACACACACCCCACUGGAGAGACAAAUUUGACAAACUUGAACAAAGAACAAAAUAUUGCAUGUUAACAUCAGACGGAGACUGACAUUUCCUUCUUUGUGAAGCAGAAAAGAAAUUACCCAGACAGUGUCAGGGAAAGCUCUGAGGAAGGAUCAGAAGCACUGAUCACCACUGGGCCUCCCCUCCUAUGGGCUGAAGGGCUGCUGUGAGUCGGUGGAUUGGAAGUCAAUGAAACCAGGCCUAAUUUAGCCUUCGCUCCUCCACGAGCUGCCAGGAGUAAGAGUGAGACUCCUUCCCUUUUUAGGGCUACCAGGACACUGCCGUCUGCAAGUGGCACUACUGCAUACCUAACUAAACUAAGGAGCUGGAGAGAGAGAGAGAGAGAGAGAGAGAGAGAGAGAGAGAGAGAGAGAGAGAGAGAGAAGCGAAGGGGUGACAGUCAAAAUUUGUUAUACAGAUGUGCCAUUUUAAUGACUGUCUAGAUCUAAAAGUCAUAAAGCAUCACAGACAGAACUGCGUAAAUAUUUUAACAAACCACCUACUUGAAUUACUCCAACUCAAAGUUUAUUUAACAAGCCAGUUUAGACACUUUUACAACCAUCUUAUCUUUACACGGCUUUCAGUAGAUACAUGGACAACUUGGCUUUGUAACUGACUUUGACAUGAUGGUCCGCUGAGGGUAUCACAACAGCUUGCAAUAGGAUCACACCAGUAAUUAGGUGAGAAGAGAGAACUAAUCAGCGUCUAUACUUACACUAUCCACUCAGCCGGGUCCAGACACUGUGUCAUGCAAUCUUUAAUAACUCCAGCCUACACAGAAAGUAGAUAACUAGAUGCUGCAGGCCUGGAAGUGUUUUUUUUCCUCCAUCGUGAUCUGGCUGAUAUUCAUGUGACAGAGAGGAAAGGGGAAGACACUUGGCUUCAACUCUAGUGAGACUCAGAAAAACAUUUUGUUUUUCAGUUUAUAAGUAUUUUCCAAUUUGUGUGGACUAAAUAAACCAAUGACUGAAAGAAAUGCAAAUUUGCACUGGCAUUCAAAGCUUUUGCUUUGGAACCGGGGUGUGAGAUACGUCGAAGGCAGUGUUGCAACUAUGUGCACACACGAAAAUGAUAGACACAUCACACUUAAUAACCAUGACAGCCCAUGUAUUUAAAAUAAAUGGAUUAUAGGAGGAUUACUCACUGAGCCCCAACUCCUUUCGCAUCUCUGUGUUUAUAUAACUACACAUGUAUUCUUGAAGACAGUGAUCACAUAAGCCAUGGUAUGGAGCACACAAUAGGAUUAUGUAUGGUGGUGUGCUCAAGUAUCGUCUUCAGUUCCCACCACCUAUAGUGAGCAGACAAACACUUGGCUUCCGUUUCACUGCAUGCAUGUGUAAUAACCUCAACAGAGACCAAUUCAAGCUGAC
ensembl:lncRNA